rnacentral:lncRNA from 1 species
UCUGCUCUUUCACUCAAAGAUGACUUAGAACUUCCAAUCUGCAGCAAACUGAAACAGAUCUCUCGGCAUUCACUCAAUCUUCUGUUUGUGAGGUAACACAGCUUUUUUCAUUACUGCUGAAAAUGGGUUGUUUAUUUAUUAAUUCUAUUAAAUUAAGGAAGAAAUCUUCUGUUAUGCUUUUCAGCCCCUGAAAGAGAAUAAAUUGGCAUGAUUUCCGUUUUUACUAGUUUCUUC